UCUAGAAAUUUGGGCAAUGGGCGCAAGCCUGACCCAGCGACGCCGCGUGAGGGAUGAAGUCCUUCGGGAUGUAAACCUCUGUUGAGGGGGACGAUAAUGACGGUACCCCUCGAGGAAGCCUCGGCUAACUCCGUGCCAGCAGCCGCGGUAAUACGGAGGAGGCAAGCGUUGUCCGGAAUCACUGGGCGUAAAGGGUGUGUAGGUGUCCUGAUGGGUCAGGUGUGAAAUCCAACAGCUUAACUGUUGAACUGCAUUUGAAACUAUCGGGAUUGAGGACAUGAGGGGAGAGCGGAACUCGCGGUGUAGCGGUAAAAUGCGUGGAUAUCGCGAGGAAUGCCGAUGGCGAAGGCGGCUCUCUAGUAUGUUCCUCGUAUGAGGAGCUGAUACUUGUGGUCUUCGGAUUAUGAGUGUCGGUCCUGACACUGAAACACGAAAGCUGGGGGAGCGAACGGGAUUAGAUACCCCGGUAGUCCCAGCCCUAAACGAUGUACACUUGGCAUGCGUCGUACGAUGCGUGCCGUAGGUAACCUGUUAAGUGUACCGCCUGGGGAGUACGCUCGCAAGGGUG
rnacentral:rRNA from 1 species